rnacentral:tRNA from 1 species
CAAAUUAAACUUUAAGUUAAGACUUUCAUUUACACUGAAAAAAGUUUUCGUGCGAUUCGAUAUAAUUUGA